rnacentral:lncRNA from 1 species
GGAUUUGGGGUCGCCACAGGUUGGUAUCAAAGCUGUAGGUUAUAAACGUUAGGAAUGCGAAACCUAGGUUAUAACCUUAGUACAAUGGAGGACAAAAGUUAAGAUAGAUAUUCAGUGAACCAAGAGACGAAGUACUCUGGUGAGAAGUUAUAGGAUAUGAUGAGUCGAAGAGAUUCAUCAAGUGGUACUAAAUAAAAUAUUCCUUCAUUUUAUCGAUGAAUAUAUUUUAUUUCGGUACUAAUGUUGUCUCGAUUAUUGUGGUCAUAAGAUGAAUGACGAAAGUCAAGAAAGUAAUUCCUUGACCCAAGAGACGAUGGACUCUAGCGAGGAGUACACAGACAGUGAGAUGAUAAGAGAUUUGUUAGUUAGGAACGAUGACUUAAAGGUUAGAGCUGAGCAAGUGGAGGCACAGAAUCGUACUUUCC